rnacentral:rRNA from 1 species
UACGUAGGGGCAAGCGUUAUCCGGAUUUACUGGGUGUAAAGGGAGCGUAGACGGUAUGGUAAGUCAGAUGUGAAAGCCCGGGGCUCAACCCCGGGACUGCAUUUGAAACUAUCAAACUGGAGUGCAGGAGAGGUAAGUGGAAUUCCUAGUGUAGCGGUGAAAUGCGUAGAUAUUAGGAGGAACACCAGUGGCGAAGGCGGCUUACUGGACUGUAACUGACGUUGAGGCUCGAAAGCGUGGGGAGCAAACAGGAUUAGAUACCCCGGUAGUCCCUGAGCGGG